GGGGGGGGUAAGCGUUGUUCGGAAUUACUGGGCGUAAAGGGCUCGUAGGCGGCCAACUAAGUCAUACGUGAAAUCCCUCAGCUUAACUGGGGAACUGCGUGUGAUACUGGAUGGCUUGGAUUUGGGAGAGGGAUGCGGAAUUCCAGGUGUAGCGGUGAAAUGCGUAGAUAUCUGGAGGAACACCGGUGGCGAAGGCGGCAUCCUGGACCAAUAUUGACGCUGAGGAGCGAAAGCCAGGGGAGCAAACGGGAUUAGAUACCCCGGUAGUCCUGGCCCUAAACGAUGAAUGCUUGGUGUAGCGGGUAUCGAUCCCUGCUGUGCCGAAGCUAACGCAUUAAGCAUUCCGCCUGGGGAGUACGGUCGCAAGGCUGAA
rnacentral:rRNA from 1 species